UUGCGGAACUUUUGAAUGAAAUUAGGGCUUUGAAAUAAAAGAGACCAUGAUUUACGAACGCAAGUAAAUCGCUUGAGAGACUUGAUAGGGAGUUUAGAGAGAAUACCAAAUGCAAUAUCAUCAUGUAUAUAGCUGCUAGUGCAACUAACCUUCUUCCGAUUUGGAACCAAAGCCAUAGAUUGAUUGAAAGAGUUGUGGAACAAUUGAACGGAUGAAAAGGGUAGCAGCAAAGCAAAGCGAAAACCCUAUCUAUGUUAUGGUAAUUAUACCCCUUCUUUCCGUUCUUUUCUUU
rnacentral:lncRNA from 1 species